rnacentral:rRNA from 1 species
GUUAGGGAUCUUGCGCAAUGGGCGGAAGCCUGACGCAGCGACGCCGCGUGAGGGAAGACGGCCUUCGGGUUGUAAACCUCUUUUCAACGGGACGAGGAUGGACGGUACUGUUGGAAUAAGCACCGGCUAACUCCGUGCCAGCAGCCGCGGUAAUACGGAGGGUGCGAGCGUUGUCCGGAUUCACUGGGCGUAAAGGGCGCGUAGGCGGAUGUAUCAGUCGGUCGUGAAAGGCCAGGGCUUAUCUUUGGUGAGCGACCGGGACGGUACAUCUUGGGCGUGGUAGAGGGAAACGGAAUGCCGGGUGUAGUGGUGAAAUGCGUAGAGAUCCGGCGGAACACCGGUGGCGAAGGCGGUUUCCUGGGCCAAGGCCGACGCUGAGGCGCGAGAGCGUGGGGAGCGAACCGGAUUAGAAACCCUUGUAGUCC